rnacentral:tRNA from 1 species
GCCGAUGUGGCGGAACUGGCAGACGCCCGGGACUUAAAAUCCCGUGCUCAUAACAGAGCGUACCGGUUCGAUCCCGGUCAUCGGCACCA